rnacentral:rRNA from 1 species
UACGGGGGGGUGCGAGCGUUGUCCGGAAUCACUGGGCGUAAAGGGCGCGUAGGUGGUCUGAUAAGGGUGUGGUGAAAAGCCCGGGGCUCAACCCCCGGGUCGGCCGUGCCGACUGUUAGACUAGAGUGCUGUAGGGGCAGGCGGAAUUCCGGGUGUAGCGGUGGAAUGCGUAGAGAUCCGGAGGAAGACCGGUGGCGAAGGCGGCCUGCUGGGCAGUUACUGACACUGAGGCGCGACAGCGUGGGGGAGCAAACAGG